rnacentral:lncRNA from 1 species
AAAUAAGCAUAAAAAAUUUAACCAAUUGUUUUAGGACAGAACUUUACAAUCGUAAUAGUCUAGAAAAAGAAGAAUCCAUGAGUUCAUUAAAUCCACUAUUAUCUGUUUUGGUUUUUACUAGGACUGGACCCAGAAGACUCCUGGCUUCCACACAUACCCACGAAUCAUCUGAUUACGGUCCACUCUCAGGAUUCUUCCCCUAUCAACGCACUGAAUUUACUUUCAACCCAGUGGCAGACCAACUCUUCCUUUCAUCAAGAAGCAGGAGGAACAUCAUGCAAACAGGUCCCAGGCAGUCAAAAAGCCAAGAUGCAAAAUAAGUAUUUGUCACCCCAUGCUACUUUUUUUUUUCUGGCUGGUCAUCCCCUGCAAAGUAUGCACAGGCUGAAGAUGUCCUCCUCUCCUUU